rnacentral:piRNA from 1 species
UGAGACGCUGUGAAGUCAGGUGGAUGC